rnacentral:lncRNA from 1 species
CAUAUCUUUGAUUUUAGAAUUAAAAAUACGAUGAAUAGAUACGUAUCUGACAAAAUCCAAUAUCAGUGAAUUAUACUCACUUCUUCCAGAUUUAUAAGACCUGCAUUAAAUUUUGUGCCAAACUUUGAUGAACAAUUAUACAAAAAAUGUAGGUAUAUAGAGAUAUAUACUAUUGAUUGAGUUUUCCAAUACGAAUACAACGAUAUAUCUUUUAUGUCACAAUAACGUCAUGUUACCGAGUAAUGUUUUGCCAAAUUUUCUUAUAGAAAAUCCCGAGCGGGCCUUAUAAACCCGGCCAGACGGUGUUAGGGAAUCAGAAAAGGUACAAAGUGAAAAAAUCAUUAGCACACGUAAAAAAAAAAUACAAGAACAAUCAUCAGGUCUAGUCCGCACAAUUCGUUACAAGACAACAACAACAGGACGUCGUCGUCGCGGAUACAUCCAUCGAGGUCAGGUGAAAAGGAAUUGAAGCUGAAUGAUCAUAUGCAAUGCCGAUCGGCAUGCAUGCUGCGCGG